AGGAUUAACGCUGGCGGCGUGCAUGAAACAUGCAAGUCGAGCGCGGUGUGAUGCGGGGUAACCCAAUUCACAUCUAGCGGCGAACGGGUGAGUAACACGUGAGCAACCUACCUUUGAGUUGGGGAUAGCCCUGGGAAACCAGGAUUAAUACCCGAUGUGGUCACAACAGGACAUCCUGAUGUGAGUAAAGGCGUAAGCCGCUCAAUGACGGGCUCGCGGCCUAUUAGCUUGUUGGUGGGGUAAUGGCCCACCAAGGCGACGACGGGUAGCCGGCCUGAGAGGGUGACCGGCCACACUGGGACUGAGACACGGCCCAGACUCCUACGGGAGGCAGCAGUGGGGAAUAUUGCACAAUGGGCGCAAGCCUGAUGCAGCAACGCCGCGUGAGGGACGACGGCCUUCGGGUUGUAAACCUCGUUUUAGUAGGGUAAGAAGCGAAAGUGACGGUACCUGCAGAAAAGCACCGGCUAACUACGUGCCAGCAGCCGCGGUAA
rnacentral:rRNA from 1 species